UAUAUUCGUAGUAUUUUGGUAAUUACAUGACCUAGUGGUAACGUAAAGUACACGUCCUAGGCAUGUAAUUUCAUUACCAAUAAAUUACCAAUUCAUAACGUCACAUUUAUCGUCUCCUAACAUUGCUGGAUAACCAAGAACGGUCCAGUUACGUAAUAUAUUGGUUAUAUUUUGAUAUCAACAUCACCUGCUGGUAACGUAACUGCCAGGUCGCAAGCACGUAAUUUCAUUACCAUUUAUAUUAGCCCAUGCUUAACAUUGACGAUUCACACGACACUUAUUAUGCUUGUUUAAAACGUUUUUAGUCUUAACAUUGUAAAUCUGCCAGAUUUACAACAGAUUUAACACGCUAUGCAGGCUGCUCUGUGUUGUAUGGGAAUAAUAACAGCCCGUGCCUCCCGCCUUGUCUCUAGUCCAGAGCAGCGCGCGCAGAGCUGAACUGCGCCUGACAGGACUGCUCGUUUCUUCGAAGUUCUAAUUUCACAACAGUAGAUUAAAGAGUUGUAUAAAUCGCAUUUUAAAUGAAAUAUUUACUCGUAGGCUGACAGAACGGCGUAACAGUGCUUUUUUGAGGUGCUUCUUUACUGACUGGAACAAAGUCCGCUGACAGGAAAUGUUGUUUUAUCAGGUAUUUAUACAGCGGAUUUAUUCAUCACCAAGAUAUGUUUCCACUGACAAAACAAUUCAUUCAGCACUGGUGGCUGUUAAGAGCAGAGUGACCAUGGCAACCGGAAUAUGAAGACCAACACUGUCACAUUACGUAACACUCAUUUCACUCAAGUGUUUUUGUUCAUAUUUAUCUGUAAAUUAUGUUGUAGCAUGCUUAAAUCAUAUGUUAUGUACAUUGUCUUUAUGCUGUUUUAUAACUAUAUAUAGCUAUUAUGUAUUUUAAUAGGUGUUAUACAAAUUACUGUUAAUUGAUAUAAACCUGUUCCACGUUUCUUGAAGCUUUUAUUCUUUUAUUAUUUUGACAGUUGUUGAAGCAAAAUAAUAAAAUGUUAUUGUGUACUGUUUUACAAUAA